rnacentral:tRNA from 1 species
GCUCCGGUAGUAUAGUCCGGUCAAGUAUCUCGGCCUCUCGAGCCGAUAACCCGGGUUCAAAUCCCGGCCGGAGCACCA